GCCCUUGUGGUCUUUAAUUCUAUGAUUCCAUGACUACAACUCUGGAAACCAGAGUUCGAUUCCCUGCUGGGCCA